rnacentral:pre_miRNA from 1 species
GAUGGAGAAGCAGGGCACGUGCAUUUCUAACUCAUGCGCAUAUACAGAGAUAUAUUAUUACUCUCAAUAGUUCACCUGCCUAUCAAUCAAGUCUCUGAAAGCUUUUCUUUCUAUAUCUCAUAUCCAGUGAUGAGUUAGUUAUUCAUGUGCCCCUCUUCCCCAUC